rnacentral:rRNA from 1 species
GACGAACGCUGGCGGCGUGCUUAACACAUGCAAGUCGAACGGAAAGGCCCUGCUUUUGUGGGGUGCUCGAGUGGCGAACGGGUGAGUAACACGUGAGUAACCUGCCCUUGACUUUGGGAUAACUUCAGGAAACUGGGGCUAAUACCGGAUAGGAGCUCCUGCUGCAUGGUGGGGGUUGGAAAGUUUCGGCGGUUGGGGAUGGACUCGCGGCUUAUCAGCUUGUUGGUGGGGUAGUGGCUUACCAAGGCUUUGACGGGUAGCCGGCCUGAGAGGGUGACCGGCCACAUUGGGACUGAGAUACGGCCCAGACUCCUACGGGAGGCAGCAGUGGGGAAUAUUGCACAAUGGGCGGAAGCCUGAUGCAGCAACGCCGCGUGCGGGAUGACGGCCUUCGGGUUGUAAACCGCUUUCGCCUGUGACGAAGCGUGAGUGACGGUAAUGGGUAAAGAAGCACCGGCUAACUACGUGCCAGCAGCCGCGGUGAUACGUAGGGUGCGAGCGUUGUCCGGAUUUAUUGGGCGUAAAGGGCUCGUAGGUGGUUGAUCGCGUCGGAAGUGUAAUCUUGGGGCUUAACCCUGAGCGUGCUUUCGAUACGGGUUGACUUGAGGAAGGUAGGGGAGAAUGGAAUUCCUGGUGGAGCGGUGGAAUGCGCAGAUAUCAGGAGGAACACCAGUGGCGAAGGCGGUUCUCUGGGCCUUUCCUGACGCUGAGGAGCGAAAGCGUGGGGAGCGAACAGGCUUAGAUACCCUGGUAGUCCACGCUGUAAACGGUGGGUACUAGGUGUGGGGUCCAUUCCACGGGUUCCGUGCCGUAGCUAACGCUUUAAGUACCCCGCCUGGGGAGUACGGCCGCAAGGCUAAAACUCAAAGGAAUUGACGGGGCCCCGCACAAGCGGCGGAGCAUGCGGAUUAAUUCGAUGCAACGCGUAGAACCUUACCUGGGUUUGACAUGGAUCGGGAGUGCUCAGAGAUGGGUGUGCCUCUUUUGGGGUCGGUUCACAGGUGGUGCAUGGCUGUCGUCAGCUCGUGUCGUGAGAUGUUGGGUUAAGUCCCGCAACGAGCGCAACCCUUGUUCACUGUUGCCAGCACGUUAUGGUGGGGACUCAGUGGAGACCGCCGGGGUCAACUCGGAGGAAGGUGGGGAUGACGUCAAGUCAUCAUGCCCCUUAUGUCCAGGGCUUCACGCAUGCUACAAUGGCUGGUACAGAGAGUGGCGAGCCUGUGAGGGUGAGCGAAUCUCGGAAAGCCGGUCUCAGUUCGGAUUGGGGUCUGCAACUCGACCUCAUGAAGUCGGAGUCGCUAGUAAGCGCAGAUCAGCAACGCUGCGGUGAAUACGUUCCCGGG